UUUUAGAGGAGUGAUUGAUGUACCUGUUGUGCUUGGCUUGCAAAGGACGUGGGGCCACUGAAUGUACCGCUGCUAAGAGAGAGAAAGGAGAGGGGGUCUAGACUUCACCAAAUAAUCAAAGGGAUCCAUGAUGAGAAAAAAAAUCCUACCCUGUCAUUUUACAGAAAUUUUGGGAGGUGUUAUCAUUACACUCAUUUUAGAGAUGAAGAAACUGAGACAAAGGAGGUGAAAGGAUUUCAUCAGGGUCAUACUACAUCCAAGAGAAUAAAAGGAAGUAGAACAAGACUCCCAAUAAACCAAGGCAAAUGGAAAUCCAGUGCUCCUUCUCCACUGUGCCACGCUUGAAUGAAUGGCUAAGAAGUAUAAAGAGACUAUGGGAAAGUCUUUUACUCUCACAAUACUCCCAAGCAGCUAUAUUUUUUUGGCAUCAUCAUUUUAUUCAUCAUAAUACCCAUCAUCAAUUCCAUGAAAGUCUGUCCAAUCCUGAUGGCUCAUUUUAUCCUGGAAUAUGCCUUAAGUCCUCAAAAGUCAGACUCUGGCAGAUCAUGAAUGAUCAUCUGAGAACCUACCUAAGAUGGGACAAGCCUACCUAUGUUUAUCAGAACUCACUUUUUUUUUUUAGCCACAGCAACUUGUGAAGCCAUCCUACAGAAGGAUUUUUAUCUGAAAUGUAAAAGAGAACCCAGACUGAUGGAAUCAUAGAUCUUCUGAUGUACAGUAAUUAACCAAUCAGUCAAAUGAGAAUUUAUAACAUACCAAUUACUAACUUGGUGUGGCACUCUUUUUAAACUAAAGGGGCCAAAAGGGAAAUGUGACAUAAUUAUCCACAAGCAGCUUGCAAUCAGAGAGGUGCUACGAUCUGGGAAAAAACAAACAAACAAACAAACAAAAAGAUCAAAUAGACUUGGAGUCAGGAGUCAGAUCUUAUUAUCAAUUCCUAGUUGUGUGGCCUAGAACCAGUUCACUUAUCUUCUAAGCUUAUUUCCUCAUCUCAGAAUCAGAAUCACAGAAUAUCAGAAAGGUAUCAUCAUAAAGUCUAAACUAAGCCCUUUAUCAUACUGGCACCCUCCUCUGAACUCUUAAUGAAGUCAAGUAUUUAUUAAGGGGGAAGGGAAGGUAAUAUUCAUUUAUAAAAUGCCUACUAUGUGCCAGACACUAUGCUAUGUGCUUUACAAAUAUUAUCUCAUUUGAUUCUCAAACAACCCUGAGAGAUAACUGCUGUUAUGCCCAUUUUACAGUUGAGGAAAAUGAGGAAUUACUAUGCUCCACUCAGUGUGAUAUGUGCUAGAAAUACAAAUACAAGGAGAAAGAAAGAUAGUCCCCAACCUCAAGGACCUUAUCUUCUACUAAAGAAGACAACAUAUAAAAGAAGCUAAAAAUGGGGAGGUAAGUGGGGUGAAGGCACCCAGGCAUUGUAGAAAAGUCCAGGAGAAAAGUCAGGAGCACAAUGUGGGAAGGAAAUAUUAAUGCACUUCCUAAAAGGUAGCACCCAUAACUCAAAACAAUACUCUGAAUAUGGUGUGAUUAGAGGAAAGUACAGUAAGACUAUCUCUUCCUUGGUCCUGGACACUAUGCCUCACUGAAUGCAGUUAAAUGAGUUUCUUUCACUGUCAUAGCAGACAGCUGAUUUAUAUAGAGCUUGUAAUCCACUAAAACCCCAUUGCAAAAUGAAAGAUAAUUAUACCUGCCAUUUCCACCUCACAGGGAUAUUGUGAAAAUCAAAUCAAAUAAUGUAUGGGAAAACAUUUGAUCAGCUACAAAGCAUUGUUGCAAAUGGAAAGUAUAUUCAUGUGAGAUAUUAUGAUUUACAAAAUGCUUCUUUGUAUCUUAAUUUCAUUUGAAGAAUUUCAUUCUUCACAACAACAUUAUAAGGUAGGCAAGAGAAGUUUUAGCCUUAUUGUUACAGAAGAGACAGAAAAGUAAACUUCCCCAAGGUUACACAGUCAGUAAAUGGCAACGCUGAGACUCUAACACAGGACUCCUAAGACUCAAGAGAGUUUCUUUUCAUUGUAUUGCAGCAGAUGUAUGCAGCAGAUCAUUCUUCUGGGAAUCAUAAGCCCGGGGUUCUAGAUCACUGUAUGACUUUGAUCAAGUCAUUCUCUGUUCUCAGCUUCCUUAGCUGUGAAAUUAGAUAUCUGGCAUAGACGGCUUACAUCAUUACUCCCAAUGUUCUAAUACUAAGGCUCUAGAUAUAAAGAACUGCUCAAAUGUGUAGCACCAGAAAUCAGAAAAUAAUACAAUCGCACAUGGGCUAUGGGAGAGGUGGUGGGAGGGUGGGGAGGGAAGAAAAGAAAAUUAUCUUUGUUUCCAAUGAAUAAUGUUUGGAAAUGACCAAAUAAAAAUUAAAAAA